GCGACGAGGAUGACACAGCGGAACACAC
rnacentral:sRNA from 1 species